UAUCUUGUGGCUGCUUGAUUGAA
rnacentral:siRNA from 1 species